GCCAGCCCGCUCAGAAACUUAAAGGAAUUGACGGGGGCCCGCACAAGCGGAGGAACAUGUGGUUUAAUUCGAUGAUACGCGAGGAACCUUACCUGGGCUUAAAUGGGGAGUGACAGCUGUCGAAAGAUGGUUUUCUUCGGACACUCUUCAAGGUGCUGCAUGGUUGUCGUCAGCUCGUGCCGUGAGGUGUCGGGUUAAGUCCCAUAACGAGCGCAACCCUUACCGUUAGUUACCAUCAGGUUAAGCUGGGGACUCUAGCGGGACUGCCACCGUAAGGUGAGAGGAAGGUGGGGAUGACGUCAAAUCAGCACGGCCCUUAUGUCCAGGGCUACACACGUGUUACAAUGGCCGGUACAAAGGGUUGCCAAGCCGCGAGGUGGAGCUAAUCCCAUAAAACCGAUCGUAGUCCGGAUCGCAGUCUGCAACUCGACUGCGUGAAGUCGGAAUCGCUAGUAAUCGUGAAUCAGAAUGUCACGGUGAAUACGUUCCCGGGCCUU
rnacentral:rRNA from 1 species